AUGAACGCUGGCGGCGUGCCUAAUACAUGCAAGUCGAGCGAACGGACGAGAAGCUUGCUUCUCUGAUGUUAGCGGCGGACGGGUGAGUAACACGUGGAUAACCUACCUAUAAGACUGGGAUAACUUCGGGAAACCGUAGCUAAUACCGGAUAAUAUUUUGAACCGCAUGGUUCAAAAGUGAAAGACGGUCUUGCUGUCACUUAUAGAUGGAUCCGCGCUGCAUUAGCUAGUUGGUAAGGUAACGGCUUACCAGGGCAACGAUGCAUAGCCGACCUGAGAGGGUGAUCGGCCACACUGGAACUGAGACACGGUCCAGACUCCUACGGGAGGCAGCAGUAGGGAAUCUUCCGCAAUGGGCGAAAGCCUGACGGAGCAACGCCGCGUGAGUGAUGAAGGUCUUCGGAUCGUAAAACUCUGUUAUUAGGGAAGAACAUAUGUGUAAGUAACUGUGCACAUCUUGACGGUACCUAAUCAGAAAGCCACGGCUAACUACGUG
rnacentral:rRNA from 1 species